UACGAAGGGGGCUAGCGUUGCUCGGAAUCACUGGGCGUAAAGCGCACGUAGGCGGAUUGUUAAGUCAGGGGUGAAAUCCUGGGGCUCAACUCCAGAACUGCCUUUGAUACUGGCGAUCUCGAGUCCGGGAGAGGUGAGUGGAACUGGCGAGUGUAGAGGUGAAAUUCGUAGAUAUUCGCAAGAACACCAGUGGCGAAGGCGGACUCACUGGCCCGGUACUGACGC
rnacentral:rRNA from 1 species